GUUAAGUGUGGCAGUAAGAACCGUUUUUUCUGUUUCACAGCAGUGACAAAGCAAACAGUGCUGAAAAUGAAGCUUCAGUCUGAGGCAGACAUGCACAGCACAGAGAUCCAGCAGCAGGUUUCACAGCAGCUGUCAGGCCUCAUGCUGUCAGAAGGACUGACAGACUUCAGGAUUCGAUGGAGGAAAGUCCAGAGUUACCGUGACGACCAGUCGAAGAAGCAGGAUGUGGACGGUGACUGCAAAACUGAAGUCUGACUGGACUGAACCACUUCAUGUGUGAAGUUAAUAACAUGCUGUGCUGAGCUGUCUCAUCCUUUAAAUCUUUCAAUAUUUCAGAGUGUAAAGUUCCACCAACAGCUCAUUUGUUCAGCUGCAGUUGUAGUUUGGUAGAAAUUCUUUAAUCAGAGGUCCACUCACUAGUUUUCCUGAUAGGCUCUAGUCUCUUGUUUUGUUUUGCAGCAUCUCU